CCUACGGGGGGCAGCAGUGGGGAAUAUUGGACAAUGGGCGAAAGCCUGAUCCAGCCAUGCCGCGUGUGUGAAGAAGGCCUUCGGGUUGUAAAGCACUUUCAGUGGGGAAGAAAGCCUUGGGGCUAAUACCCUCGAGGAAGGACAUCACCCACAGAAGAAGCACCGGCUAACUCCGUGCCAGCAGCCGCGGUAAUACGGAGGGUGCGAGCGUUAAUCGGAAUUACUGGGCGUAUAGCGCGCGUAGGCGGUCUGAUAAGCCGGUUGUGAAAGCCCCGGGCUCAACCUGGGAACGGCAUCCGGAACUGUCAGGCUAGAGUGCAGGAGAGGAAGGUAGAAUUCCCGGUGUAGCGGUGAAAUGCGUAGAGAUCGGGAGGAAUACCAGUGGCGAAGGCGGCCUUCUGGACUGACACUGACGCUGAGGUGCGAAAGCGUGGGUAGCAAACAGGAUUAGAUACCCCUGUAGUC
rnacentral:rRNA from 1 species